rnacentral:rRNA from 1 species
GACGAACGCUGGCGGCGUGCCUAAUACAUGCAAGUAGAACGCUGAAGAGAGGAGCUUACUCUUCUUGGAUGAGUUGCGGACGGGUGAGUAACGCGUAGGUAACCUUCCUUGUAGCGGGGGAUAACUAUUUGAAACGAUAGCUAAUACCGCAUAACACUUGAUCACACAUGUCAUUUAUUUGAAAUGGGCUAUUGCUCCACUACAUGGUGGACUUGCGUUGUAUUAGCUAGUAGGUGAGGUAAUGGCUCACCUAAGCGACGGUACAUAGCCGUCCUGAUAGGGUGAGCGGCCACACUGGUACUGAGCCACGGCCCAGACUCCUACGGGAGGCAGCAGUAGGGAAUCUUCGGCAAUGGCGGCAAACCUGACCGAGCAACGCCGAGUGAGAGAAGAAGGUUUUCGGAUCGUAAAACUCUGUUGUAAGUACAGAACAGGUGUGGAAGUAGAAAGUUCACUCUGGGACGCUAGGAUACCAAAAAGGGACGCCUAACUCCGU